AUAUCGAAUUAAAAAAAAAACCCAAAAUUUAUUUAAGCGCAUAACUAAAUUAUCAUAACUAUUUCCCUUCGAUAAUAUUUUUAUUUCGGACUUAGGAUAAAAUUAUUCAUCCUCCGAAAUAUUCCGGGAUUAAUUAAAUAUUCCUCACUAUUAAAUUUGUUCAUCGGCCCAUGGAUUUAAAUUAAUCUGGCCCAAGUAAAUUUUAUUCCCAUCCCAACUAAUAAUUUAGUAGUUGGCCCAACCAUUUUCCUCCUAUUUAAUUUAGGGUCCAAAACCAAAAUAAAAUGAACCCAAACUAACAAAUCAUCACUCUAAUAUAAUAGGCCCAAAAAAAAUUUAAGUGAGCCCACAUGAGAGGAACCCACGUAUGAAACAUACCCUACCAUUGUCUUCCUCCCUCAUUUCACAGCCUCCAUUCCCUCUCUCUCGUCGCCGUCGAUCCGCCGCCCUGCGGCCAGCGCCGCCGCUCCGGCGGUGCCCCUCUCUCCCUCUCUUCUCUCCCUUCUCCCCCUCCUCUCUCUCUUCUUCUCUCAGCCUCACGCCUCCGUCAUCCCCUCUCUCUCUCUCCCGAUUAACUGCCGCCGCUACUGUGCAUGCACAGGCGGCGGCUUCGCCUUCCUCCUCCCGGAAGUCCAGCCGUAUCUGCGGCGGUCUGCAUCUAUCUCUCUCUCUCCCUCUCGGUCGAUCUCUCUCUCCCCGAUUCUCUACACAGCCGCCGCUGCGGAUCCUCCUCCGCCGCCGCCGCUGCUGCGAAUCCGCCACCGUCGCGGAUCCGCCUCCACCGCCGUCGCCGAGAACCUCCCCCAGCUGCCGACGCCGAUUUCCGACAGAUCCGUCAAGGCUGCGAUUUUAGUGAUGGAUUUGGGGUAUUGGGCUGUCAUUGUUAAUGACGGGUUGCCGAGCUUGCUGCCGGAAGCUUCUCCGGUGGACUUCUAUGCCCUUUCAAGCUAAGUUCCUAUUAUUAUUUGGGAAUUUGUCAUUUUAUGUUUUUGGGAUGCUAUAGCAACUAUGUUCUUGUGGUGCUAAAUUAUCUAUAUGAAAUAAAUAUCGAAUGCUAAAUUGGUGUUUUACAAUUUUGGAUACUAAGUUUGUAUUUUGGCAGAGACAUGUUUUGCCUAUAUGUACUGUGUCAAUAUGUGGAUAAGUGAGGUGUGGGUACUUACUUU